rnacentral:rRNA from 1 species
UACGUAGGGGGGCUAGCGUUGUCCGGAAUCAUUGGGCGUAAAGAGCGCGUAGGCGGCCAGAUAAGUCCGGUGUGAAAGUCAAAGGCUCAACCUUUGAAUGCCGCUGGAAACUGUCUGGCUAGAGUCCGGGAGGGGCGAGUGGAAUUCCUGGUGUAGCGGUGAAAUGCGCAGAUAUCAGGAGGAACACCGAUGGCGAAGGCAGGUCUCUGGGCAUUAACUGACGCUGAGGAGCGAAAAGCAUGGGGGAGCGAACAGG